rnacentral:rRNA from 1 species
UCUACGGGAGGCAGCAGUGGGGAAUAUUGCACAAUGGGGGCAACCCUGAUGCAGCGACGCCGCGUGAGUGAAGAAGUAAUUCGUUAUGUAAAGCUCUAUCAGCAGGGAAGAAAAUGACGGUCCCCGAGUACGAAGCCCCGGCUAACUACGUGCCAGCAGCCGCGGUAAUACGUGGGGGGCACGAGUUAUCCGGAUUUACUGGGGGUAAAGGGAGCGUAGACGGCAGUGCAAGUCUGUGGUGAAAGGCGGGGGCUCAACCCCGGACUGCUCUGGAAACUGUACGGCUGGAGUGCAGGAGAGGGAAGUGGAAUUCCUAGUGUAGCGGUGAAAUGCGUAGAUAUUAGGAGGAACACCAGUGGCGAAGGCGGCUUACUGGACUGUAACUGACGUUGAGGCGCGAAAGCGUGGGGAGCAAACAGGAUUAGAUACCCGAGUAGUC